AUUGAUGCUGCCUUGGCUGGAUUGAGAGGCACUCAUGCCUUUGGAGAAAAUUUUAUUUGUGCUUAUGAAAUGAGACCCUCAUGAGAUGUCAGAUAGACUAGACUGUGAAG